rnacentral:rRNA from 1 species
ACAAUGAAGAGUUUGAUCCUGGCUCAGGAUGAACGCUAGCUACAGGCUUAACACAUGCAAGUCGAGGGGCAUCAGGAAGAAAGCUUGCUUUCUUUGCUGGCGACCGGCGCACGGGUGAGUAACACGUAUCCAACCUGCCCUUUACUCGGGGAUAGCCUUUCGAAAGAAAGAUUAAUACCCGAUAGCAUAAUGAUUCCGCAUGGUUUCAUUAUUAAAGGAUUCCGGUAAAGGAUGGGGAUGCGUUCCAUUAGGUUGUUGGUGAGGUAACGGCCCACCAAGCCUUCGAUGGAUAGGGGUUCUGAGAGGAAGGUCCCCCACAUUGGAACUGAGACACGGUCCAAACUCCUACGGGAGGCAGCAGUGAGGAAUAUUGGUCAAUGGGCGCUAGCCUGAACCAGCCAAGUAGCGUGAAGGAUGAAGGCUCUAUGGGUCGUAAACUUCUUUUAUAUAAGAAUAAAGUGCAGUAUGUAUACUGUUUUGUAUGUAUUAUAUGAAUAAGGAUCGGCUAACUCCGUGCCAGCAGCCGCGGUAAUACGGAGGAUCCGAGCGUUAUCCGGAUUUAUUGGGUUUAAAGGGAGCGUAGGUGGACUGGUAAGUCAGUUGUGAAAGUUUGCGGCUCAACCGUAAAAUUGCAGUUGAUACUGUCAGUCUUGAGUACAGUAGAGGUGGGCGGAAUUCGUGGUGUAGCGGUGAAAUGCUUAGAUAUCACGAAGAACUCCGAUUGCGAAGGCAGCUCACUGGACUGCAACUGACACUGAUGCUCGAAAGUGUGGGUAUCAAACAGGAUUAGAUACCCUGGUAGUCCACACAGUAAACGAUGAAUACUCGCUGUUUGCGAUAUACAGUAAGCGGCCAAGCGAAAGCAUUAAGUAUUCCACCUGGGGAGUACGCCGGCAACGGUGAAACUCAAAGGAAUUGACGGGGGCCCGCACAAGCGGAGGAACAUGUGGUUUAAUUCGAUGAUACGCGAGGAACCUUACCCGGGCUUAAAUUGCAGUGGAAUGAUGUGGAAACAUGUCAGUGAGCAAUCACCGCUGUGAAGGUGCUGCAUGGUUGUCGUCAGCUCGUGCCGUGAGGUGUCGGCUUAAGUGCCAUAACGAGCGCAACCCUUAUCUUCAGUUACUAACAGGUCAUGCUGAGGACUCUGGAGAGACUGCCGUCGUAAGAUGUGAGGAAGGUGGGGAUGACGUCAAAUCAGCACGGCCCUUACGUCCGGGGCUACACACGUGUUACAAUGGGGGGUACAGAAGGCAGCUAGCGGGUGACCGUAUGCUAAUCCCAAAAGCCUCUCUCAGUUCGGAUCGAAGUCUGCAACCCGACUUCGUGAAGCUGGAUUCGCUAGUAAUCGCGCAUCAGCCACGGCGCGGUGAAUACGUUCCCGGGCCUUGUACACACCGCCCGUCAAGCCAUGGGAGCCGGGGGUACCUGAAGUACGUAACCGCAAGGAUCGUCCUAGGGUAAAACUGGUGACUGGGGCUAAGUCGUAACAAGGUAGCCGUACCGGAAGGUGCGGCUGGAACACCUCCUUU